rnacentral:lncRNA from 1 species
AUGGUCAGGGCCUUUUCAUCCGAAUGGUCUUAAUGUUAAAGAAGCCCCCAACUGGAGUGGAUAGGAGUGGAAAACAGGCAGUAACAAAGCCAUUUAAGAAGAAGAACAAAUUUUUAUCAAGUACCAAUGGCAAUAUCAAGAAACAGUUUAAAGUUCAAUUUCUACUAAUAAAUCAACUGCGGCGAUGAAACACGCCCGGUUACUAAACAUACUGAUGCGUUAUCAAAUUGUGAGUGAUUGUAUAAUGUGGAAUAUGUUCGUACUCUCCACACAUGUGCGAAAGCAGAAAGGUACACUUAUAAAAAAGAUCCAAACGCAUCUUAAGUUAGUGCUGGUGUCAAUCUAUUUAGCAUUUAUUUAGUGUUCAAACAUCGAUUUGAGACGUACGUUACAAAUGCUGAUAUCGACUUUUCAGAGCCGAUCAGUUCUGAUGUGAGAGCGUAAAAUAUUAGCAUACUAUUGAGCUACACAACGCACACAUCCGUAUGUAUUUACCGUAAGAAGCAGUCUACUAUCAACUUUAAUUUGGGAUGAUAAGCCGACACAAACACAUACAUACAUAUGCCUGAACGAUCACGAUAACCCGUGCCGAAUUUGAAGUUGAGGUUUUGGUUCAGAACUUAACUACAUACAUUAGUAAAGCACAAGCGUCACAGACGAAGUUGAUAA